GAUGAAGAACGUAGCGAAAUGCGAUAAGUAAUGUGAAUUGCAGAAUUCAGUGAAUCAUCGAAUCUUUGAACGCACAUUGCGCCCCUUGGUAUUCCGAGGGGCAUGCCUGUUCGAGCGUCAUUAUAACCCUCAAGCUCAGCUUGGUGUUGGGGCCUGCUGCACUGGCAGCCCUUAAAAUCAGUGGCGGCGCCAUCUGGCUCUAAGCGUAGUAAUUCUUCUCGCUAUGGAGUCCUGGUGGAUGCUUGCCAUCAACCCCCAAUUUUUCUAUGGUUGACCUCGGAUCAGGUAGGGAUACCCGCUGAACUUAAGCAUAUCAAUAAGCAGAGGA
rnacentral:misc_RNA from 1 species